rnacentral:tRNA from 1 species
GCGGAUGUGGCGAAACUGGCAGACGCGCUAUCUUGAGGGGGUAGUGGGUGUAUACCCUUGUGAGUUCGAGUCUCACCAUCCGCACCA